rnacentral:rRNA from 1 species
AGAGUUUGAUUCUGGCUCAGAACGAACGCUGGCGGCAGGCUUAACACAUGCAAGUCGAACGCACCGCAAGGUGAGUGGCAGACGGGUGAGUAACGCGUGGGAACCUUCCCUUUGGUACGGAAUAACUUCGGGAAACCGAAGCUAAUACCGUAUAAGUCCUCCGGGAGAAAGAUUUAUCGCCAAAGGAUGGGCCCGCGUUGGAUUAGCUAGUUGGUAGGGUAAAGGCCUACCAAGGCAACGAUCCAUAGCUGGUCUGAGAGGAUGAUCAGCCACACUGGGACUGAGACACGGCCCAGACUCCUACGGGAGGCAGCAGUGGGGAAUAUUGGACAAUGGGCGCAAGCCUGAUCCAGCCAUGCCGCGUGAGUGAAGAAGGCCUUAGGGUUGUAAAGCUCUUUUGGCGGGGACGAUAAUGACGGUACCCGCAGAAUAAGCCCCGGCUAACUUCGUGCCAGCAGCCGCGGUAAUACGAAGGGGGCUAGCGUUGUUCGGAAUCACUGGGCGUAAAGCGCACGCAGGCGGAUUGAUAAGUCAGGGGUGAAAUCCCGGAGCUCAACUUCGGAAUUGCCUUUGAUACUGUCUAUCUUCGAGUUC